UACGAAGGGGGCUAGCGUUGUUCGGAAUUACUGGGCGUAAAGCGCACGUAGGCGGCUCGAUCAGUCAGGGGUGAAAUCCCAGGGCUCAACCCUGGAACUGCCUUUGAUACUGUCGAUCUGGAGUAUGGAAGAGGUGAGUGGAAUUCCGAGUGUAGAGGUGAAAUUCGUAGAUAUUCGCAAGAACACCAGUGGCGAAGGCGGCUCACUGGCCCGGUACUGACGCUGAGGUGCGAAAGCGUGGGGAGCAAACAGG
rnacentral:rRNA from 1 species